rnacentral:rRNA from 1 species
GAUGAACGCUGGCGGCGUGCCUAAUACAUGCAAGUCGAGCGAACGGACGAGAAGCUUGCUUCUCUGAUGUUAGCGGCGGACGGGUGAGUAACACGUGGAUAACCUACCUAUAAGACUGGGAUAACUUCGGGAAACCGUAGCUAAUACCGGAUAAUAUUUUGAACCGCAUGGUUCAAAAGUGAAAGACGGUCUUGCUGUCACUUAUAGAUGGAUCCGCGCUGCAUUAGCUAGUUGGUAAGGUAACGGCUUACCAAGGCAACGAUGCAUAGCCGACCUGAGAGGGUGAUCGGCCACACUGGAACUGAGACACGGUCCAGACUCCUACGGGAGGCAGCAGUAGGGAAUCUUCCGCAAUGGCGAAAGCCUGACGGAGCAACGCCGCGUGAGUGAUGAAGGUCUUCGGAUCGUAAAACUCUGUUAUUAGGGAAGAACAUAUGUGUAAGUAACUGUGCACAUCUGGACGGUACCUAAUCAGAAAGCCACGGCUAACUACGU